ACCAACGACUCUCGGCAACGGAUAUCUCGGCUCAUGCAUCGAUGAAGAACGUAGCGAAAUGCGAUACUUGGUGUGAAUUGCAGAAUCCCGUGAACCAUCGAGUUUUUGAACGCAAGUUGCGCCCGAAGCCAUUCGGCCGAGGGCACGUCUGCCUGGGCGUCACA
rnacentral:rRNA from 1 species